CAGGUCUCCAGCCGGCUGCAGUGGGAGAUGACCUCACAGUUCAAAGGCCUGCCACUUCCUUGUGACGGCUCUCAGAGGCCUGCACGGCAGGAGAGAAACCUUUCUCUCAGGACCAAAAAUAGUUGUUCUUGGAUCAGACUGAGAAAGAUCUUGCUGAGAUUCAAGGUUCGGAGUGCUGGAGGAUUUUCUCCUCCUCUCAACCAGGGCAGGCAGUUCUGUGGCCACCGCAGGCCAGACCGCUGCAUGGCUGCUUGCUUCCUGAGGACAGCAGGAUUGAUUUCACUGCUGGAGCUGCUGGUGCCCGGGAAGGUUAACAAUCCCUUAUCCAAAAUGCUUGGAACCAGAAGUGUUUCAGAUCUCACAGAGUUUUUCAGUUUUUGGAAUAUUUGCAUGUACAUAAUGAGCUACCUAGGGGAUGUGACAGAGUCUAAGCCCGAAGCUCAUUCAUGUUUCAUGGACCCUGUGUGCAAAUGGCCUGAGGGUAAUGUUUGUAUUCCUGUGUUUGGACUACCACCCUCCACGUGAGGUCAGGUGCGCUUCCCUGACCUUUCUGUGAGGGACGGGGCGGGUCCCAGACCCCCAAGCCCUGGCUUCGCUUGAUGACUCACUGCCAGCCAGCGGCCCCUGUACUGGGAAGGAGCUGAGUGAGUCUCCCCAGCCUGCCUGUUCUCUGCCACCUCGAAGUAGCUGCACUGGAAGAGCUAUGACAGCAGCCUCCUGCGGGCCUAUGGUUCGGGACAGACAGGGGUGACUGGGCGCCCCCACAGGGAAGGAUGUUGCUUCUCCAGUUACAGUGCCCGCUCUUUCCUGCUCUGCCUCCAUCUGCUCAUCCUGUCUUCCACUGUGCUUUUGAAAGGGUCGGGUGGGGCCGCUCUGCAGUGAUCAGGAUAGCGCUUAGUGUUGUACUAGGUGCGAUUUGAAAUAUUCCAUCUAACAG
rnacentral:lncRNA from 1 species